rnacentral:lncRNA from 1 species
GCUCGUGCAAGAUGGCUGCGGCGUGUCGGAGCGUGAAGGGCCUGGUGGCAGUAAUAACCGGAGGAGCCUCGGGCCUUGGCCUGUCUACAGCCAAAAGACUGGUGGGACAAGGAGCCACAGCUGUACUUCUGGACGUCCCUAACUCAGAGGGUGAGACCGAAGCCAAGAAGUUAGGAGGAAACUGCAUAUUUGCCCCAGCAAAUGUGAGUUAUGACUCUCCCAGGGUGUGCAUGAGGAAAAUUGUUGGGGUAUUCCUUCGAGCGGUGUCUGGGGUCGGUCAGAUGGCUUAGCGGGUAAGGGCACUUGAUGCCACCCAUGACCACCUCAGUUUGAUUUUUGGGAACCACAUGGUAUAAGGAAAGAUCCAACUCUGACCUGCGCACACACAUGUAAACAGAUGUAAGGGUGGGGAACCCACCUCCUUUUAGCUUUUGACCGGAGUCCUUGGGCACUGUGAGAGCCCUGCAGUAAGAAAGCUAAAGCCAGGGCUGGACACCAUGGGGAUGAGAGGAUUGGACACACCAGAAUUUCCUGGAGAAGGUAGGUACAGUUGGAAUGCAUAUCUCGCCCAGACAUUUUACAUUUACAGAGUUGAAAAAGUUAAACUUAGCAGGUAGGGAUUUUUUUCUUUUAAAGCUAGGUCAUGUUCCUGUAAUUUUCAGAACUGGAUUGUACUGGAGUACA